UCCGAGAGAGACCGCAGGAGCGGCGCCGAAGGGGAAAACGUGCAACAACUCUCAGGCAAAAGGAUCGGGAU
rnacentral:ncRNA from 1 species